rnacentral:tRNA from 1 species
AUUCCUUAAGUACAAAGUACAAUUAAUUUCCAAUUAAUAGGUUUAUUAUAAAUAAAAGGAAUA